AGAGUCUGGGGAUCUGAAGUCUACUCUCAAGAAAGAGGAAAAAUGGCUUGUGACCCUGGGCAAAGACUAGUCCUUCUGUGUUCCAUCUCCUUCACCUGAGACAUGAAGAGGUUGGACCAGGAGAACAUUUUCCCAAGCAUGUUCUGGAAGCUUCCAUCGAACUCACGCACCCCCCUCCCCUGAGCCCCCUUGGCUAGAGCUGUGCCUUAAGCGACCAACCUCACACCCAGCUUCACCUUGCUUAGCUCAUCGUCAGAUCUGGAUACUGUCUACACUGCCUGGCGCCUCAGCAGACGGUUAUAAGGCUGACCCAGCCCCUCUCAUAAAAAAGAGGUUUUGAAUUGGCGUAAAUCUCAGCUCUGCAAGGGAGGAAAAUGAACUGCCAGCUCUGCUGAAAAACUAGGACAAGGUUCCCUUUAGCAAGUCUCCAGGUACCGUGCAGGCAAUCACUGGGUAUCAUGAGCCUGAAAAUAUGCCCCUGCCUGGUACAAUGUCUCCUGAUUAAGCCGGCUGCCAGGUCCUGAGUAGCAGGCAGGAAUGGUGAAUUCUACAGCCACACAAUUACUAGUAGUUUGGAAAAACCCUUUGAAACACCAUGCCAAUCAUUUAAUUCAUUUUCCAAGUCCUUUUUUAAUGCAAAAUAUGCUAAUAUGCUGUUGGAGUGUCCAGCUAGAGAGACCUGAUAGAAGCGGGGGGCCUCUCUUGCGGGGAGGUUAAGCGGAGGGCUGGUGGGAAUGGGGCAGGGCCAGAAGAAUGGCCCAUUUUCCCUUCAGGGAAGAAAAGACGGCCGGUGCCACUGGGCUCAAGUGUUUCUUUGUGCUCCUUUCAGCUGCAAAAGGUGUGAUCGCUCUCCCAGCUACAGCUCUGGGGCCUAACAGGCUUCUUUUCUGCCCCAAGCGUGAGUCCUGCCCAUGAUUCUUUUCCCUGAUCGGCUAUUAUAAAACAUUGUGCAUGGUUCCCUGCGCUAUAUGGCAGUGUUCUAGGCAUGAGGAUACAUACAGUCCUGAACAAAACAGGCAAGUGACAACAGGCAGAGCAUCAUGAGUGAGGAGGAGACAGACUACGUGGAAGUUAGCAGACAAGCGGAACAUCAGGACGUCAAAUAAAAG